GCACUGGAAGGUUUGGUUUAGCU
rnacentral:miRNA from 1 species